rnacentral:lncRNA from 1 species
UGAAAACCUUGUUUUAUUGAAGUUAAUGACGAAAAUACCACCUUCUGUAGAAUUUAGUCUGUACUGAUUCAGAACAGGGGUUCUGUUGUAGGCUGGACUGGAUUUUCUUUUUAGAUGAUUUCUUGCACCAGGUUACUUAGGUCUAUUGUGUCUAAGCUCUUAAAUAUUGUGUGUUGUAACCAGGCAACAUGACUAACAUUUUGCAAACACCUAACUAGCUUCCUACACCAGGGCUAGAUUCACAGAAAAAUGUGCUGUUACAAGACGUGCCUUGCAAGGACAUUGCUCUACCUCAUGCAAUCCCUCUGUAGAGCUAUGGGGUGAGACUACCAUGCACACCAGCAGAGGACAGCCUUCUUACCGUCUGAAAAAUGGAAAUGGUUUUGAGGAACGUGGAGAAUGCAGCCAGCGUCACCUGACACAGCUUCACUACCCUCCAGCUGUAUUUUAAGAAACAGGAAUUACUUUUGAGACAUCCUUUUCAUUUGUAGGAAUCAGCAAAUGCUUCCCAGUGAUGAAUUCUGACCGGAGAGAGGUACCUGCUCCAGCUGUGACCCAACCUCUCCUUGUGUGGCUGGAGGAACAGCCAGACAAAGGUUCCAGUUCCUCAUAUUGCAGACAUGUUACUUCAGUCUGAUCUGGAGCAGAGUGGUUUCUUCAUGAUGAUGGGGGAUACAGCUGAGAAGCAGUUCAUGCUGGAGUCCACAUUAUAUCGAAUGGACACAGGCCUUCCUAUACUCCCAUCCCUGCGAACCAGUGACCUUCACUCUUCAGUGUGGGUAAGGAAGGCAGAUAAACCAUGUCCGCUCAACUUUACAAAAAAGCUGUCCUUGGUUUGGAAGGUUCCUGGAUCAAACACCAACUUCUCCAUGACUUGGCCAUUUUUAUUUUCCUCCCCUGCCCAAGGGAGAAGAAAAUCCCAAGCACUGUCAUCAUCAGCUGGCUUGCGUCCAAUAAUCCCAAAUUAAUUUAAGCGGCCAAGAACUGGGCGUUAACUUCUCUCGUAUGUCAGGAGAGUAGGUAAUAAAAUAAAAACCAAUCAGUCA